rnacentral:rRNA from 1 species
GCCUGGUAGUGGGGGAUAACGUCCGGAAACGGGCGCUAAUACCGCAUACGUCCUGAGGGAGAAAGUGGGGGAUCUUCGGACCUCACGCUAUCAGAUGAGCCUAGGUCGGAUUAGCUAGUUGGUGGGGUAAAGGCCUACCAAGGCGACGAUCCGUAACUGGUCUGAGAGGAUGAUCAGUCACACUGGAACUGAGACACGGUCCAGACUCCUACGGGAGGCAGCAGUGGGGAAUAUUGGACGAUGGGCGAAAGCCUGAUCCAGCCAUGCCGCGUGUGUGAAGAAGGUCUUCGGAUUGUAAAGCACUUUAAGUUGGGAGGAAGGGCAGUAAGUUAAUACCUUGCUGUUUUGACGUUACCAACAGAAUAAGCACCGGCUAACUUCGUGCCAGCAGCCGCGGUAAUACGAAGGGUGCAAGCGUUAAUCGGAAUUACUGGGCGUAAAGCGCGCGUAGGUGGUUCAGCAAGUUGGAUGUGAAAUCCCCGGGCUCAACCUGGGAACUGCAUCCAAAACUACUGAGCUAGAGUACGGUAGAGGGUGGUGGAAUUUCCCUGUGUAGCGUGUGAAAUGCGUAGAUAUAGGAAGGAACACCAGUGGCGAAGGCGACCACCUGGACUGAUACUGACACUGAGGUGCGAAAGCGUGGGGAGCAAACAGGAUUAGAU